UUAGGAAUCUUGCGCAAUGGGCGAAAGCCUGACGCAGCAACGCCGCGUGCGGGAUGAAGGCCUUCGGGUUGUAAACCGCUUUCAGUGGGGACGAAAUUGACGGUACCCACAGAAGAAGCCCCGGCUAACUACGUGCCAGCAGCCGCGGUAACACGUAGGGGGCAAGCGUUGUCCGGAUUUAUUGGGCGUAAAGAGCUCGUAGGCGGUUCGGUAAGUCGGGUGUGAAAACUCAGGGCUCAACCCUGAGACGCCACUCGAUACUGCUUGACUAGAGUCCGGUAGGGGAGCAUGGAAUUCCUGGUGUAGCGGUGAAAUGCGCAGAUAUCAGGAGGAACACCAAUGGCGAAGGCAGUGCUCUGGGCCGGAACUGACGCUGAGGAGCGAAAGCGUGGGUAGCAAACA
rnacentral:rRNA from 1 species